rnacentral:rRNA from 1 species
AGAGUGAACGCUGGCGGUAGGCCUAACACAUGCAAGUCGAACGGCAGCACGGUAAGAGCUUGCUCUUAUGGGUGGCGAGUGGCGGACGGGUGAGGAAUACAUCGGAAUCUACCUUUUGGUGGGGGAUAACGUAGGGAAACUUACGCUAAUACCGCAUACGCCCUUCGGGGGAAAGCCGGGGACCAGCAAUGGCCUGGUGCUGAUAGAUGAGCCGAUGUCGGAUUAGCUAGUUGGUGAGGUAAUGGCUCACCAAGGCGACGAUCCGUAGCUGGUCUGAGAGGAUGAUCAGCCACACUGGAACUGAGACACGGUCCAGACUCCUACGGGAGGCAGCAGUGGGGAAUAUUGGACAAUGGGCGCAAGCCUGAUCCAGCCAUACCGCGUGGUGAAGAAGGCCUCGGUUGUAAGUCCGUUUGUUAGGAAAGAAAAGACAUUCGUAAGUACCGGUAGUUCGUGACGUACCCGAAAGAAUAAG